rnacentral:piRNA from 1 species
UGAACUUCACAAGAGGAAUGGUGUGU